UGUCAGAUCGACCCCCCAUCACCUCCUCUUGUCGGAUUGACCUCCUGCCCAUCCCCUGGCCGGAUCGGGCCCCUUGCCGCCUCCCCCUUACAAAGGAUCGAGCCCUCCACUACCUCUCCUUAUCGGAUCCACCCCCUGGUCUCCUCCUGCCUCCCCAAGCCCCCAACCACCUACCCAAGCCCCAAGCCCUCAGCUACCUUCCAUCUCUCCGAGGCCC
rnacentral:lncRNA from 1 species